GACGAACGCUGGCGGCGUGCUUAACACAUGCAAGUCGAGCGGAAAGGCCCUUCGGGGUACUCGAGCGGCGAACGGGUGAGUAACACGUGAGUAAUCUGCCCUGCACUCUGGGAUAGCCUUGGGAAACUGAGAUUAAUACCGGAUAUGUUCACUUCCCGCAUGGGAUGGUGGUGGAAAGUUUUUCGGUGCAGGAUGUGCUCGCGGCCUAUCAGCUUGUUGGUGGGGUAAUGGCCUACCAAGGCUUCGACGGGUAGCCGGCCUGAGAGGGUGACCGGCCACACUGGGACUGAGACACGGCCCAGACUCCUACGGGAGGCAGCAGUGGGGAAUAUUGGACAAUGGGCGGAAGCCUGGUCCAGCAACGCCGCGUGAGGGAUGACGGCCUUCGGGUUGUAAACCUCUUUCAGCACAGACGAAGCGCAAGUGACGGUAUGUGCAGAAGAAGGACCGGCCAACUACGUGCCAGCAGCCGCCGUAA
rnacentral:rRNA from 1 species